AUGGACCUGCAUAUCA
rnacentral:rRNA from 1 species